GGAGGUCGACAGGUAUGGGGAAGUGCUGUAUAACGUUCCCGUUAUUAAUGUUUGGGUGGCUGACGGGGACGGAUUUUCUCCUGUCACUUUCUUGGCCUUUACAGCUUUGUCAUAUUGCACUUUAUGGUGACGUUUGAGGUGGUUAUACAGAUUUGUAGUGUUACCUUGCGGUGCUGCUACUAUGGCAAGGGAUAGCUCAGUAGGUAGAGUGGUGGCCCCAUGAUCGGAAGGUCGGGGGUUCAACUCCACUGAACGGCUACCCUGAGGUACCCCUGAGCAAGGUACCGUCCCUACACACUGCUCCCCGGGCGCUGCAUUGGUGGCUGCCCACUGCUUCACUGGGUGAAUGGGUUAAAUGCAGAGGAACUAUUUCCCUAUGGGGACUAACACACACACACACACACACACAAAACACAGCUUGCAAAUGAUAUUUUUUUGACUCUCAUCGUCUUCUUUGAAGGCAAAAAACUUCCACACGGAGGAAUGAGAACCUUUUCUUGGAAGUAAUUUUACAGUGGGGUUGUCAUUCUCACCGGUAUCAGGAAACGUUUUCUCUGCGCUCAUUGUGUUUUCUCCCCUCGGGCAGUUUCACGUGCUCUAAGUUUUUUUUUGUUUUUUUUUCCCCUGCCAGAUGGCUUCUGUAUCACGUGGUAUAAGGCUCCACCCUUGUCAUUUGUUGAGCAGGAAGCGUGAGCGCUUGUUUUCAUGCAGAUUAUGUCCCGGAUCAAAAUGCGGUACAAUUAAUCGUGCAGCCCUAUGUGAAACCAUCUCAUUUGUGCCUUUUCUAGUGGAUUUUUCAGCUACUGUAGUAAAUCUUGUCCAUAUUCAUGUUUGUGGGUAAUCUAUUUUAUUUCUUAUUUUGUUAUUUAUUAAGUUUGAUUUAAGGGGUAGGACAUUUGUUUAAGGGGGCAUAUAGCCAGCCACGGGAAUCAUUGGUACUUUAUGCAAUAAAAACUGCAGACUUCCUUCUGAAUACAGAAAGUGCAAUAAUCUUUUUAAUUAUGUUUUUCUUAAUGUUGUGAUAUAAUGUACAUUCACAACUGUGUAAAAAUAAAUAAAAAUGGUAUAUUCUUUAACCCUUUAAGACCUACCAUAGAACCAAGUUCACCAGAGCUUAUAUUAUAUUUUUACAUGCUGUGGAGCCAUUUUUGGAAGCAUUUCAAGUUGCUAUACAUCAAUACAACCAUUAUAACUCAGAUUUUAAUAAUAUGUAUGCAUUAAGUGCAUAGUAAUUACAUAAAUUGCAAAAAAGUGCAAU
ensembl:lncRNA